CCUACGGGUGGCUGCAGUGGGGAAUAUUGCACAAUGGGGGAAACCCUGAUGCAGCGACGCCGCGUGAGUGAAGAAGUACUUCGUUAUGUAAAGCUCUAUCAGCAGGGAAGAAAAUGACGGUACCUGAGUGAGAAGCCCCGGCUAACUACGGGCCAGCAGCCGCGGGAAUACGGAGGGGGCCAGCGUUAUCCGGAUUUACUGGGGGUAAAGGGAGCGGAGACGGGAGUGACAGGCUGGAGUGAAAGGCGGGGGCUCAACCCCCGGACUGCUCUGGAAACUGUACGUCUGGAGUGCAGGAGAGGCAAGUGGAAUUCCUAGUGUAGCGGUGAAAUGCGUAGAUAUUAGGAGGAACACCAGUGGCGAAGGCGGCUUACUGGACUGUAAAUGACGUUGAGGCUCGAAAGCGUGGGGAGCAAACAGGAUUAGAUACCCUUGUAGUC
rnacentral:rRNA from 1 species